ensembl:lncRNA
AUGAGGUCCUCACUGAGCUGCUACAUGUCAGCCUGUGCAGGCUUUGGAAUUGGAAAGCAGUGUUUGCCCGUGUCCAACACAGCACUUUACAGAGAACACACUGACAGGGGUAUGGUCCCACAGUCACAUCCAAUUCAUCUGUUGGAUCAGUUCACACUUCUUAGUGCCUGGGGUCCCGGGCCCUUGACUUCUCGUUUUUCUCCUUUGAAGGAGAAUAUUUCUCUUUUCCCCUCAUCAUCCCAUCUCUUGAUGCUUGUCUCCCCAUGCUGGCCACUGCUUGUUUUCUUAGAGUCUAAGUGUAUUUCCAUUUCACAUGCAACAGUAAGAAUAAAAACAAGGAGAAAACAUUUCUGUUCAACCAGAUAGGAAAGCAUCAUCUGUAGUCUUGACCCAGAUUGGGUCUUUAUUUUGGAAGUCAUCACAGCCAAAUACCAAAUGAAUUGAAGCUUCCCCUGUGGCUCAGCUGGCAAUGAAUCUGCCUGCAGUGCGGGAGACCUGGGUUCGAUCCCUGGGUUUGGAAGAUCCCCUNNNNNNNNNNNNNNNNNNNNNNNNNNNNNNNNNNNNNNNNNNNNNNNNNNNNNNNNNNNNNNNNNNNNNNNNNNNNNNNNNNUGACUGAAGGACCUUCACUUUCAUGUUUACCUUUGGAAAAUGCUCAAGCCUGAAGCUAGCUCAAGUUUAAUGAUUACACUCACUUCUUUUGCCUUUUCAGAAAUCCAUUCGUUGGAUGUCAUUGCAGUUAUGAUCUGAACUUGAUGAUCUGUUAAGAGCAAGUUUCUAAUGGAGACUUGUUUUAGUUGGCUUCGGCUGCCAUAACAAAAUUUCAUAAGCUAGUGGCUUCAACAACAGAAUCAAAAAAAAUUUUUCUUUAUUAACUUAUUUUUGGCUCUACUGGGUUUUCGCUGCUGCGUGCUGGCUUGCUCUAGUUGCGACAGGCAUGGCCUACUCUCUAGGUGCAAUGCACGGGCUUCUCACUGAGGCGGCUUCUCUUGUUACGGAGCAUGAGCUUUACAUGUACUGGCUUCAGCAGCUGUGGUGCUCAAGCUUAGUUGCUCCAAGGCAUUUGGGAUCUUUCCAGUCUAGGGAUCGAACCUGUGUCCCCUGCAUUGGCAGGUGGACUCUUAACCUCUGGACUACAUGGGAAGUCCAGCAAUUGACAAUGUCAACUGACAAUUGACAUUCCAGCUCAAGAGGCUGAAAACUUGAGAUCAAGGUGCCUGCAUAGUCAGGUUCUCAUGGGAACCCAACCGUAGUUGAAGAUGGCUGCCUCUUCCUGUGUCUGCUCACAAAGGAGAAAGGGAGAGACCUUUCUCUCUCUUUCUCUUUUAUAAAGUCACGAUGCUGUUGGAUCAGCCCCGCUAUCCAGCCCUUAUGACCUCAUUUAACCUUAAUUACCUCCUAAAGACCUAUCUCUAGAUACACCAGAUACAGCCACAUUGGAGGUUAGGGCUUCAGUGUGUACAUUGCAGGGCAGGGGAUAUAUUCAGUGCAUAUGGAAGCUGGAGAAAGUGAGAGAAGAGAGCGAACAUUUAUUGAGUCCUUACUGGUGAGAAAUGGAGUAUUUCAAGAAAUAAAAUAUUUCCUGCCGUAUCAGUAAACAAGGAUGUCACCAUCAUCAGGGUGAGCUGGUGAGCCCUGAGGGAACUCAGGAAGAAGAAGAAUACCUGCCGUCUGGCGGCCGUCAGACUGCAGCCACUCCCAAUGGUGAGCCCUGAGGAAACUCAGGAUGUGAAGAUACAGGACACUGACCCCAGAUCACUGAGGUGAAUAUCCAAGGAAUGAUUUCAGUGAGCCCAGACUCCUGUAUCUUCCCAUACAUAGAAAAGCACUCAAUUCUUUAACUUGACAUAUCUGGUUUCAGAUUAAUUAAAGGUAAUUUUUGGAUGUUUCUGACUAUUUACUCCUUGUUGCAAAACCCUUAUAUGUCCUAACUCCUCCCCUCACCUCCUCAGAGCAGUUUCUCAGAGCUGUCUGAAACACUGUCUCCUGGGCUUCAGUUCUCAUUUUGUCCCAAAUAAAGCUUAACUUGCAGCUCUCACAUUGUACAAGUUUUUUCAGCACUGGAUACAGUGUCCUGCUUGUUUCUAUUCUCAGUCAAUCCUCACAACAACUAUGAGAUGUCAUAGCACCUUUUCCAAGGUCACAAAGCUAAGAUGUUGGCUGUUUCCAAGUGUGAACUCUGGUAACCAAAGCCCUGCUCUUUCCAUGACACAUUCUGCCUCCAUCUCCAUUUCUCUCCUUGAUUCAGGGCCAUGAACCUCCAUUUCUCCUUCCUGCUAGGUCCCAGCUCAGUUGCCUGGAAAGAUGACAUUGUCACCCACAGCACUCUGUGAAGGACAGCAGUGUAGAGGCAGCUCUGAGGAUUCCCUUGGGAUCCCCAUGGAGUUUAGACUGACAGCUUUGGAAAGCCUGCCCAGAAGGUUCUCUCUCUUUCUUCUCAGCCUCCUUUAUGUUGAUACUUAAAAAAAAUUGGCUGCACCAGGUCUUAGUUGGUGGAUGCAAGAUCUAGUUCCCUGACCAGGGUUUGAACCUGGCUCCUCUGCAUCGAGAGUAUAGAGGCUUAAAUACUGGACCACCAGGGAAGUCCCUAGACUGAUACAUUUUCUCCCUCAUCAUUUCAAAGUCAACUUGUGUUCCUCCCUCAAGGAUGCUUUCUUUGACUUGCCCUUCUACCUGCCUUAGCUCUCCCUUACUCUCUCUUAUAUAUUAUCCUAAAUUACCCUUUCAUGGUUUUUUCCCUUUUGUAUAACUUCAUAAAUGUUGCUUCAUAAAUGUAGUAGUUCUAAGAUAAUCUGCAUAAAGUUUGUUUUCCUACUGGUCUGUAAACUCCCUGAGAGCAGCAAGGUUUUGCCCCUUGAAAUAUCUGUGGCCAUCAGGACACUGACAUGAAGACCUACAGGGGAGGGAAAGGUGACUCAAGGAAAGUUAAUGGCAGAAAUAAUCUACCAAAUUCAUUUACAGUUGUGUGACGGGCACAAAUAUGCCUGAGAGAGAGCUCCUUCUAACUGGGACCUUUAUUAAGUCCUUGCCUACCACCAACUUUAUCCUUCUCCUUUUUAUUUGGCAUGGGGGUGCUAGAUUUGGCUGGCCAAGGAUUAAGUCCUUGGAGUAGGGAGAGGUGGCUGAGGAAUAGAUCUUGGUGUGCUGGUCAACUCUGGACUCUCCCAAGGGCAGCACAUCUGGGGAUGCCUGUUUAUAUCUUAUCAGACUCAGUCUCUUUCAGGAAAAGGAGGAAGCAACGUCUUGGUGGAACAGAGUAUAAAGAGGCACAGGGCCUUCCAGGAGACAUUUGUAACAGCUAAAGAAGCCACAUACAUGAAGACAUGAAAAGAUGGUGCUUCUUCUUCAGAGAACUACAAAAUGCACACUUUUACUGGUGAGUUGCAUGGAAAUGUGAUAACGUAAAUGAAAGAGUUAGACGAAUAUUCAGUGUUUUCAUUAUUAUCUAUUUCUAUUUCAACAUGGUUUGGUGGGUGCGUAAAAGCGUUCAUGUAGAAUUGUUUUAUAAACUGGAAAAAUCCUAUGAAAACUUGCUUACUAUAAAUUCUUUUGGGUGAAGAUACCUUAGCCCAAGAGAUACCAAGAAACUAUGCUGGGANNNNNNNNNNNNNNNNNNNNNNNNNNNNNNNNNNNNNNNNNNNNNNNNNNNNNNNNNNNNNNNNNNNNNNNNNNNNNNNNNNNNNNNNNNNNNNNNNNNCUAUGCUGGGAACUUGAAUUAUUUAUGAAUUUAUUUUAUUUAUAAACUGAAAAUUUUGUCUAAUUUCCUUUUUCUAAUCCCCUUUUCAAAGAUUAGAUUAUAAAUCUAUGGAUCUAUGGUAUCUGUUAUUGUGAAUAUCAGUGGUCUGGGACGUGUGAUUUUAGCUUGGCAUCAUCCACCCCUGGACCUUUCUACUCAUACAUCAGUGUGGCUUCUUAGCAAUCCUGCCCUCCUGGGUUUCCAGCACAACAGCGUGUUCUUCCUCCAAGCUGGUUCCACAGUCCCCUUGUAAAAAAACGUUUUUUAUUUAGAAAUAAUUAUACACAAAUCAGUGUAUAUACUAUAACUAACAUACUCUGUAAUAAUCAAUGUUAUGAUAAAGAACUGAUGUAAAGCAAUCAUUUACAAUGAUGAUUUUAAUUCAGAGGAAGUGAGGAAAAAAGCUGCAUAAAAACCCAAAUAAAACAAAAACUAACCUCCUUCAGUAGGGACAUCUUGUGUGCAUAUGUGUUCAAUUGCUUAGUCAU